CCUACGGGAGGCAGCAGUGGGGAAUAUUGGACAAUGGGGGCAACCCUGAUCCAGCCAUGCCGCGUGUGUGAAGAAGGCCCUCGGGUUGUAAAGCACUUUCAGUGAGGAAGAACGCCUGGUGGUUAAUACCCAUCAGGAAAGACAUCACUCACAGAAGAAGCACCGGCUAACUCCGUGCCAGCAGCCGCGGUAAUACGGAGGGUGCGAGUGUUAAUCGGAAUUACUGGGCGUAAAGCGCGCGUAGGUGGCUUGAUAAGCCGGUUGUGAAAGCCCCGGGCUCAACCUGGGAACGGCAUCCGGAACUGUCAAGCUAGAGUGCAGGAGAGGAAGGUAGAAUUCCCGGUGUAGCGGUGAAAUGCGUAGAGAUCGGGAGGAAUACCAGUGGCGAAGGCGGCCUUCUGGACUGACACUGACACUGAGGUGCGAAAGCGUGGGUAGCAAACAGGAUUAGAUACCCGUGUAGUC
rnacentral:rRNA from 1 species